rnacentral:lncRNA from 1 species
AGAAUCUCUUAGAAGUUAGUCGAUCUAUUCAUUCAGUGCUCCGUGAAAGGUAAGUAAUGAACUAUUUUCUCGAGAUAUUUCAUAUUUAUUCUGAAAAUAAAUAAUUAUUCUCUGAAAUUAUGUUUUGAAAGAAAAGUACUUUUGAAAUAUUAUGGUACGUCGAUUAUGCACAUGUUCAGUGAAAAAUUAUGAUAUAUUAUGAUACAAAGUGUUUUGAUACAGAUCGGAUUUAUGCUCUCAGCCUAACUAUGUUUCAAUGGGCUCCGCCAAUGGGGAUUAUACGUUGGUACUCAGUGGACCCUGCCAGUGGGGAUUGUGCGCUGGUGUUUGUGGACCCUACCAGUGGGGGUUGUGC